UAGCUUUUUAGCAUCGAGAUCAAGUAAGCUGCAGCACAUAGCGGCAAGUCACAUAGAUGAAGAAAUUGUUCUAUUUAUCGUAAACUUAAUUUGUUGGAUUUUUAUUCGGAAUCUCCUAAGUAUUUAUACACCAAGGUUGAAAAGUAUAAAAUCUUCCAACGUUGGGUAGGUACCACCUCAAGGUAAAUGUGCUGUCUCCUAUCUCUGUAUAGUAGUACUAUAUUGGUUACUAGGCUACGUUGCUAACGCUUUAUCUAUGUUUAUGUUCGUCUGCGGUAUGCAGAUGAGUCUUGGGCAUAUGUUCAUGUAGAUGCUGAGUUUAGAAAUAGACGAGACAAAACAUUGGUACUGUUGUUAGUAGAGCUAGUACGAAGAUGUAUAAUGCAUAAUGUAGCCUGCCACAAGAACAGUCUUUUUACCGCACACACGCACGCAUACAUUUAUGUCAUUGUUGAUUAAACGGACUCAGAAAGCCGUACUUGUGUCUGUUGAGUUGUAUUGACUGAUUGUUGGUUAACUAGCUGGAUAGCGGUCCCGGACAUCCACCGACGUGAGGCCAGCAUAGUAAAUGAGAGUAAUAACAGGAACUGGGAAUUCUAAGCGCUUUUAUAAUACCAAAUUCAUGUUUGGCGUGGGUGUUUCAUGAUCCUAGUCUUAAAGAGCCUUUGAUUUAUCCUUUAGUGCUGAAUCUCUAUAGAUGAUCUCAGGGCAAAAUCGGAAUAAUAAAACUUGUUGAAACUAAACGUGGAUAACAUGACAUCUAAAAAAGCUCUAUCGGACAAGCAAUUCAGCAUGCUUAAAUCUGUUGUCUCAACAUGGUACGACGAUCACGGACAUCUUUCUUUGUUGAAAGUGUUAUUCAGGGAUAACGUGCCGAACGCUAUGCUCUCGAAAUGUACCUCAACGAUGGAAUUGCUUGAUAAUUUAAAUGCUUGUGGCUAC